AGUGAACGCUGGCGGCAGGCCUAACACAUGCAAGUCGAGCGGCAGCGCGUCCGACCACCCUCGGGUGGUCGGAUGGCGGCGAGCGGCGGACGGGUGAGGAAUGCAUCGGAAUCUGCCUCGUUGUGGGGGAUAACGUAGGGAAACUUACGCUAAUACCGCAUACGACCUACGGGUGAAAGUGGGGGACCUUCGGGCCUCACGCGAUGAGAUGAGCCGAUGUCAGAUUAGCUAGUUGGUGAGGUAACGGCUUACCAAGGCGACGAUCUGUAGCGGGUCUGAGAGGAUGAUCCGCCACACUGGAACUGAGACACGGUCCAGACUCCUACGGGAGGCAGCAGUGGGGAAUUUUGGACAAUGGGCGCAAGCCUGAUCCAGCCAUGCCGCGUGAGUGAAGAAGGCC
rnacentral:rRNA from 1 species